UACCAUAUCCUAGCACCAAAGCAUGGUCC
rnacentral:piRNA from 1 species